CAGCAAUUCCAAAACAACAUCCAAUAAAUUCUAGCUCUCACCAAAGCACGAACUAUAACACAGUCACUCCCUGGAUGGCUAAAUCGAUUUACCAAACACAGCAUGUGAAAACACCACGUUUACAUAUCAACCUCUUACCUCUCUGCAACCAGCAACCAAAUAAAGGUUGUAAGCCUUUCUUACACUGAUCAUUUAACCUCUUAAGGACACAUGACAUGUG